rnacentral:lncRNA from 1 species
GCGAUUAAGCCCUUUUAUUAAAUCGGACACUUAAACAAUGAAAUUAAAACACGAAAAUUUCACACAAUCAAAUGCACACAAAAUAAACACACAAAAUAAUAUUAAAAUAUUUUUUUGACUCGGACUUGUGGUCCCGAAACCACUAUGUCCGAUUAGAGUCAAAACCGGGUUGUUACACUUCUUCACAUCCGUUGUCAUCCCCUUCCAAUAUAAUAUACUCGAAAUUCUCUUUCUAGUAGCAUGCACCCCCGAAUGUCCCCCAAUGGAGCUGGAAUGAAAGUGAAGGAACAGUUUCUUGCGCAAUUCAGUAGCUUUACC